rnacentral:rRNA from 1 species
UACAGAGGCCACAAGCGUUAGUCGGAAUCACUGGGCUUAAAGGGUGCGUAGGCGGGUCGGAAAGUGUUCUGUGAAAGCCCUCGGCUCAACCGAGGAACAGCAGGGCAUACUACCGAUCUUGAGGCAAGUAUGGGUGGGCAGAACAGUAGGUGGAGCGGUGAAAUGCGUAGAUAUCUACUGGAAUGCCGAUGGUGAAGACGGCCCACUGGGCUUGUCCUGACGCUGAGGAACGAAAGCGUGGGGAGCAAACAGG